CAGCCAGCUUCCGUGCCGGCAACGCGGCUGCCUUCUCCUGGGCUAGAGAGUGAGGACGUCCGUUCCCCGCCCCCAGGCGUCCCUAGGGUCGGCGCCAGAGCCCAGGAGCCCAGGAGGCCUUCGCUCGGGGACGGCGAGGCGGGCUCUGGGUCCUCUCCCAGCCAGGCCGAGUUUAGCAUGUGGAGGUGGCGCGGGAGCGCGGGCAUGGACCAAGGGAAGGGGGACCCCCAAACCGCACUGGUGCUUUCCUUUCCCUCCACUCGCUCCGUAGCCCUCCCCAAAUUGCCCGUCUCCGGUAGGACUGACUCUGCCUGCCUGGCCUCUCAGCUACCAACUUUGCCCGCAAUCUAGAUCCCAGACCUGAAUGGAGCUGUCUCUCCCUAACCUCCCACAUUGCACAGUUGCUGAUGAGCCCUGUAAUUAAUGAAGAUUUGCCAACAGUUGCACACUCACUGACGUUCUGAGCUUAUUGAAAAAAGCAGCCUCACUUUCAUUGUUUCAAUGCUGAGAGCUUGACCUAGAAGGAUGGUUGAAAUCUCAGAUGCCUGUAGGAGCCAAAGAAGGAAAACAAGCAAAGCUUCUCAGUAUUAGAAAUCACUAGGGAGAGGCAGAAAAGAUGCACAUAAGGGUGCUGAUCAACAGAAGACAAGAUUCAUUUAUGUUUGUUCAGUAGAAUGUGUCAACUCAUUUGGUUAUGCAUAUUUUCAAUCAUUAAUAUUUGGCAAUCAAAAUCACAUGCUUUCUGGAAAUCUAGUAAAUUAAAAAAUUUAGUAGCUGUAAAGAAUAGAACUGGUGCAUAUGGGCAUAUAAGACUAACACCCAUAUAUAUUUCUUUGUGCAUUCAUUACUUAUUCACCUAAUGCAAAAAUCAUGGGCACCGAGUGAGUUCCAGGAAGAAUUCGUAGCACUGAGGGCACAGAUAGGAAGCAUGGAAAAUUCCUGCCUUCCUGAUGAUUACAUUUUAACUGGGGAGGCAGAAAAAAGAAAGAAGGAAAGAAAGAAAGACAAGAAAGAAAGAAAGAGAGAGAGAGAAAGAAGAAAUAAAGAAAAAGAAAGGAAAGAACAAAUUUCAGUGAGUAUUAAAUUCUAUGAAGAACAUAAUGUGAGCUAGCUAGAGUAUGGAGGAAAGGUACAGCUAGAUUAUUUAGACAGAAAGGCUUCUCUGAGAAAGUUUUCAUGUGCAUGUAUCAAUAAGCACAUAUGCUACCUGGAUUUAUGUAAGCAUUUAUUUCUUAAUAUGCAUUUGUAUUUGCAAUGUCUUGUAUGAUGUUUAGCAUAAAAUGAAAGAAAAAUCCUCUUUGUAAUUGGAGAUGGAAGGCAUCUAGUGUCUUGAAAAGUCUGUGCACAGAUGUAGGGGCGUAUAUGUAAAGAUUGUUGAUAUUAUUGUUUUCCCAAAUAUAACACAGACAACACAGCAGCCUAUUAUAAAAUGGUUUAUUACAAAGGUUCGGAUAUAAAGUCCUCCAGAGUCCUUUCUAAUCAUUUUCUUCAAAAAUUGCUACUUCUUCUUCUGUAAUAAUAAUUUAUACAUAUUUUUGUUAUAAUGCAUUCCACAUUGCAUUGGCAUCAGUUAUACACAAGUAUAUAUUUAUUUCUAGAUUUUGCUCCUUGACAGUGUUUUUCCUUUAAUGCCUUUGUAUUUCCAAGCAAAUCAAAUUUGUUUUGAUAGAAGUGUGUGAUAGUGAGGAUUUUCCUGUAUUUCAGUUACAAUGUUCUGACCUGAUUACAUGGGAAAUUUUUACUUAUAUGCUGAUGUUCUAAGAGAAAAAUACUGUCUUUAAGUGGCAGAGCUGAAUUCCAAAGUCCAGCAAACCAGCUAGCUGACUUGUGCUUAUUGGUCAUAGAAAACAUUGCAGCUAAAUUGAUUAGCAAUGACAACACUACUGCUGCUGUUGGAAAUAUCUACCAUUUUUUCAGCUUUUUCCAGUGUUAGCUAUUGGCCACUACUUACAUCGUUCUAUCAAAUCCUGACAAUUGCCCUAUCAGGUAAAUGUUUAUUGAGACACUUCAUAAAUGUGUAAUUGAAACUCAGAAUAAAAAACUGCCUGGCCACUAACCUUGUCAUAGAUUGUCAUAAUAUUAUGUGUGCUGAGUUAUAUCCAGUUUAUUACAUAUAAUAAAAAUACUAUAAAAUUUC